rnacentral:tRNA from 2 species
GCCCCUGUGGUGGAAUCGGCAGACACGCAGCGUUCAGGGCGCUGUCCGCCUUAGGCGGGUAGAGGUUCAAAUCCUCUCAGGGGCA